CUACUUACAGGUACUGGAGAGCGCUCAGCCCCGAGAAAGAAUUUGCGCCAAUAUAACGGAGCUUAUUAUUGUUAAGCACAAUUCCUCCAGUUUUUCGAGGCCUGCAAAUAUUUCUUCAUCAAUCGAAAAAAACAUACAAGCAAGUUAAUUCCCUAAGAUGAAGAAAGAAUUUCGCUGGGAUUGAGCUAAUGUGGUUGUCUCCAAGAGCGCUA